CGGGAAGAGCUCAAAUUUAAAAUCUGGCAGCCUUGUGUUGUCCGAGUUGUAAUUUGCAGAGGGAGCUUUCGAGUUGGCAGCGGUCUAAGUUCCUUGGAACAGGACGUCACAGAGGGUGAGAAUCCCGUACGUGGUCGCAGGCCUUCUCGAGGUAAAGCCCCUUCGAC
rnacentral:rRNA from 1 species